GCCAGGCGUGGUGGCGCAUGCCUGUAAUCCCAGCUACUCAGGAGGCUGAGGCAGGAGAAUCACUUGAACCUGGGAGGUGGAGGCUGCAGUGAGCCAGGACCAUACCACUGCACUCCAGCCUGGGUGACAGAGCGAGAUUCUGUCUCAA
ensembl:misc_RNA Metazoa_SRP Metazoan signal recognition particle RNA